GGGGCGGGCAUGGUGCAUUCCUCGACUUGCUAAUCGAAGGAAUGGGGGUUCGAUUCCCCUCCGCUCCACCA
rnacentral:tRNA from 2 species